rnacentral:RNase_MRP_RNA from 1 species
GGGCAUUCAGAAGGCUUGCUAUCUGGGCUACACACAGGGGACCUGGUUUCUCUCACAACCCGCCCAGGGGAAAGUCCCCGGACUCCCGGCAGAAAGUGCCCUGGCUGAAGCCAGUGUCGGCCCGCGGCUCACCGUUGUGAAGCUGAGAAGUCCGUUGGACGGAGCUUGGUGAUCGCAGGUCGACUUUGUCAGCGUUACUAGUAAUGCAAGUGUGCGCGCGCGCAGCAACAGAACGGGGCUCAUUCUCGGAAUGCA